UCCAGACACCUACGGGUGGCAGCAGUCGAGAAUUUUUCUCAAUGGGGGAAACCCUGAAGGAGCGACGCCGCGUGGAGGAUGAAGGCUUUCGGGUUGUAAACUCCUGUCAUUUGGGAACAAAGCCUUACGUUAACUGCGUGGAGGUUUGAUAGUACCAGAAGAGGAAGAGACGGCUAACUCUGUGCCAGCAGCCGCGGUAAUACAGAGGUCUCAAGCGUUGUUCGGAUUCAUUGGGCGUAAAGGGCGCGUAGGCGGCGAGGUAAGUCGGGUGUGAAAUCUCAGAGCUCAACUCUGAAACUGCACUCGAUACUGCUUUGCUAGAGGACUGGAGAGGAGAUUGGAAUUCACGGUGUAGCAGUGAAAUGCGUAGAUAUCGUGAGGAAGACCAGUGGCGAAGGCGGAUCUCUGGACAGUUCCUGACGCUGAGGCGCGAAGGCCAGGGGAGCAAACGGGAUUAGAUACCCCGGUAGUCCUGGCAGUAAACGGUGCACGUUUGGUGUGCGCGGAUUCGACCCCGUGCGUGCCGGAGCUAACGCGUUAAACGUGCCGCCUGAGGAGUACGGUCGCAAGAUUAAAACUCAAAGAAAUUGACGGGGGCCCGCACAAGCGGUGGAGUAUGUGGCUUAAUUCGAUGCAACGCGAAGAACCUUACCUGGGCUUGACAUGCAUCGUGUCGCCGGUGAAAG
rnacentral:rRNA from 1 species